CAGCAGCCGCGGUAAAACGUAGGGUGCAAGCGUUAAUCGGAAUUACCGGGCGUAAAGCGUGCGCAGGCGGUUAUGUAAGACAGAUGUGAAAUGCCCGGGCUUAACCUGGGAACUGCAUUUGUGACUGCAUGGCUAGAAUCUGGCAGAGGGGGGUAGAACUCCACGUGUAGCAGUGAAAUGCGUAGAUAUGUGGAGGAAUACCGAUGGCGAAGGCAGCCCCCUGGGCCAAGAUUGACGCUCAUGCACGAAAGCGUGGGGAGCAAACAGGAUUAGAUACCCGCGUAGUCCCUGUCUCUUAUAC
rnacentral:rRNA from 1 species